GUGUCCUACGGGAGGCAGCAGUGGGGAAUAUUGCACAAUGGGGGGAACCCUGAUGCAGCGACGCCGCGUGGGCGAGGAAGUAUUUCGGUAUGUAAAGCCCUAUCGGCAGGGAAGAAGAAAUGACGGUACCUGAAUAAGAAGCACCAGCUAAAUACGUGCCAGCAGCCGCGGUAAUACGUAUGGUGCAAGCGUUAGCCGGAUUUACUGGGCGUAAAGGGAGCGCAGGCGGCGCGCCCAGGCUGAUGUGAAACCCCGGGGCUCAACCCCGGGCAGGCAUUGGAAACUGGCGGGCUGGAGGG
rnacentral:rRNA from 1 species